ACCGCAGAGAGAAGAGGAGGAAAGCAACCAGAAGAAACUGGAGAAGAGCAGAGCCGUUUCUGCAGUGGUGCACUGAGCAUACAUGGAGACCCACAGAACUAUAAAUACAGAUAUAAACUGGCUUUUGAUGAGAGAUUCCUUGUAGAUGACCAAGAAGACCAGUGAUGUGUUAUCGGCAAGAUGUCAAAAGGUGUCCCAGACGAUCUAGAAGAAGAAGAGUUCCAUUCAUACCUAAAAUGCCCAUCUUAUCACUAUAAACAACUUGUUCAGGACCAAGUUGUGGAACCUUGUCUAAAACGCAGGAGUCUGUAACCUUCCAGGAGACAAGGCUUGCCUGUUACUUUUGGACAUAAAGAAAGUAAUGAGAGCCAGUAUGGGUACAUGUAGACUUGAUUUACAGAAUGGCGCAUUGCUGUAGCUGAAAGACACUGGCAGCAGACAGUUCAGUUGGUGAUGAAGACGUCCAUUAAGAACCUCCAAGCAGUGGGAGGAGCUAAGACAGGAGGAAAAGAUGCAAGGAAAUUGGACAAAAACGCACAAGAGAGGUUCUGCAGGCAUCUACUGGAUUCUCACCCUUCGAGGUGCACUGUGGACAUCCCAUGUCUUUCCCAAUGGACCAUCACUUAGCUAGGUCUUCUUUUUGUUAUGAUG